rnacentral:rRNA from 1 species
CAGUAGCCACGGGAAUACAGAGGGUGCGAGCGUUAAUCGGAUUUACUGGGCGUAAAGCGUGCGUAGGCGGCUUCUUAAGUCGGAUGUGAAAUCCCUGAGCUUAACUUAGGAAUUGCAUUCGAUACUGGGAAGCUAGAGUAUGGGAGAGGAUGGUAGAAUUCCAGGUGUAGCGGUGAAAUGCGUAGAGAUCUGGAGGAAUACCGAUGGCGAAGGCAGCCAUCUGGCCUAAUACUGACGCUGAGGUACGAAAGCAUGGGGAGCAAACAGGAUUAGAGACCCCUGUAGUCCCUGUCUCUUAUAC